GUCUUCGUCAAAGAUGGCAUCAUUCAGCACAUCCGCGAUGGUCUCCUGGUAGCCCUUGGUGAAGAACUGCAUGGCGGUGGCCGCCCUCCAGGGCGUCUUCAGCAGCCCCUGCCGCUCGGGGUCCUCGCCCAGCGCCCUCAGGAUGGUGGUGUACGCGGCCGCCAGGCUGGGCAGGCUCAGCUCGUUGUCCUCCUCGCUGCGGGGCCGCUCUCCCCGCCACCCGUCCCCGCUACCGCCGCUACCGGCGGAUACACGCGGCUUCUCGGUGCCCAGCUUGGGGGAGGGCGGUCCCUCCCGCCGUGCGUACCCGUUGCAGCUCCGCGCCGCCGCCAUAGGCGCCGGCAGGGCCAGCCCG
rnacentral:lncRNA from 1 species